rnacentral:rRNA from 1 species
GAUUAAGUUAUUAAGGGCGCACGGUGGAUGCCUUGGCACUAGAAGCCGAUGAAGGACGUUACUAACGACGAUAUGCUUUGGGGAGCUGUAAGUAAGCUUUGAUCCAGAGAUUUCCGAAUGGGGAAACCCAGCAUGAGUUAUGUCAUGUUAUCGAUAUGUGAAUACAUAGCAUAUCAGAAGGCACACCCGGAGAACUGAAACAUCUUAGUACCCGGAGGAAGAGAAAGAAAAUUCGAUUCCCUUAGUAGCGGCGAGCGAAACGGGAAGAGCCCAAACCAACAAGCUUGCUUGUUGGGGUUGUAGGACACUCUAUACGGAGUUACAAAGGACGACAUUAGACGAAUCAUCUGGAAAGAUGAAUCAAAGAAGGUAAUAAUCCUGUAGUCGAAAAUGUUGUCUCUCUUGAGUGGAUCCUGAGUACGACGGAGCACGUGAAAUUCCGUCGGAAUCUGGGAGGACCAUCUCCUAAGGCUAAAUACUCUCUAGUGACCGAUAGUGAACCAGUACCGUGAGGGAAAGGUGAAAAGCACCCCGGAAGGGGAGUGAAAUAGAACCUGAAACCGUGUGCUUACAAGUAGUCAGAGCCCGUUAAUGGGUGAUGGCGUGCCUUUUGUAGAAUGAACCGGCGAGUUACGAUUUGAUGCAAGGUUAAGCAGUAAAUGUGGAGCCGUAGCGAAAGCGAGUCUGAAUAGGGCGUUUAGUAUUUGGUCGUAGACCCGAAACCAGGUGAUCUACCCUUGGUCAGGUUGAAGUUCAGGUAACACUGAAUGGAGGACCGAACCGACUUACGUUGAAAAGUGAGCGGAUGAACUGAGGGUAGCGGAGAAAUUCCAAUCGAACCUGGAGAUAGCUGGUUCUCUCCGAAAUAGCUUUAGGGCUAGCCUCAAGUGAUGAUUAUUGGAGGUAGAGCACUGUUUGGACGAGGGGCCCCUCUCGGGUUACCGAAUUCAGACAAACUCCGAAUGCCAAUUAAUUUAACUUGGGAGUCAGAACAUGGGUGAUAAGGUCCGUGUUCGAAAGGGAAACAGCCCAGACCACCAGCUAAGGUCCCAAAAUAUAUGUUAAGUGGAAAAGGAUGUGGCGUUGCCCAGACAACUAGGAUGUUGGCUUAGAAGCAGCCAUCAUUUAAAGAG